UGAAUCAGGUUCAUUGGGAGCACUUCCAUGAAUGGGAGAGGGGGAGUUGCUGCAAGGCCCCUCCCAAGCCAACAGAAUGCAGAAAAUAGAAGGAUCAUUCUGCCCCUUUGCCUCACUCUCACUCUCUCUCUCUCCUUCGUCCCUUGCUACCUGAUGACGCAGCACAAACCGACUGGCAGCGCACAACAGGAUGGGUGACUUUAAAAAUGGCUUCAAGAGGUCACCCUCUGAAACUUCUACUGUGAGCCUGCAGCUGAAGACAGAAUCGAACUGGCCUGUUACUCACAGACAGGGCAACUGAGUGCUAUUGCCAUAUUAGAAGUGUAUCUAUUAGGAACAGUGAGGAACUGCAAAGAUUGCCUUUUCUAUCAGGACAGAGCUAGUUGAGGACAAGGGAACUUAUCUGCUGGAUCCACACCAAGAUUUCUAACAUGCAGAAUGGAAGACUCUCUGGCCAGCAUUGUGUAGUUGGAAUAAUAUCUAUACAGCUUUUACGUAUGCUUAUUUGUAUAUUAACACAUGCUCAUGAGAAUAUUUCAUUGGUCUCUGUUCAAAAACAAUGAAUUUAAAUUUGGGAACAAGUUAUUUUUCUCCUAAAUGUGCAAAUACAAAACUUUAUCUCCAAAGACAAGUUAGUAGCUGAUUUCACUGAUAACUGUAUCAUGGAGCCAGGAGUUAUCAAUGAUAGCUACUUCCGAAUUGUCGACUGAUAAGUUGCGAUUAUGACUCAUCCACUUGUGCAGCACUUACAAAAUGCUGAGUGUGGAAUAUUCCCUCCCUGCAGUGAUGGGGAAAUAUUUGGGUGAGUUGGCUCUGGAGAGAUAUUUUGUCCAUUGUUGCUGCCUCACUGAUGAAAGUCUGGGUGAAAAGUUCCAUGAGGGGUUUUCUCGAUCUACUAUUAUUUAGUCUUUAAGUGGUCAUUAAUGAUCAGUUAAGGACCUCAGCUUGCCAUCUGACAGGCAUGAAAAGUUGGUUGGUUUCCUGAUUGGGUAACCAGGGCAAACUGUCAGCCUUGGGGUUUGUCACCUCAAUCUAUGGACAACCAGAGACAUGGAUCUGGGCCAAUGCGAUGGCCUGUCAGAGCCACAUCCUGGAUUUGUCUUUAACCAGCUCAGACCCCUCUAUUCAUCAUCCUCACCCAAAAGUGGAGAAAAAAUUAGUUUCUUGCCAUUGGAUCCCCUGCAGUUUGACCUUGACAGACGCUCUUUAGAAGCCAGAAGCUGCCAGGCUCUGUCUGUAUGUCUGACAGCAUUUGAACAUUCUUGUAGGGGUUGUGGGCUUUGCUGGCAAGGCUAGCUUUUGUUACAAUUGAACUGGUUGGAUCGCCAGGCUGUUUCAGCGUCAACCAGAUUGCUGAGUGUCUGGAGUGACAGGUCAAGCAAAGAUGGCAGACUUCCUUUCCUAAUGGAAAUUAGUGAACCAGAUGAAUUUUUAGGAUAGUCAAAACUAUCAAGUCUGCUCCGCUUAAAAAAUUAAUCUAUCAUAGGUUCUACUUUUUUCAUUUGAGAAAUUGUUGUUUUAUUGCAAUAUGUUUUUAAGUACAGCAAGUUUUUGGAACAAUGUAUUGUACAUGAAUUGAUCAAUAAGUUGCUGUUGAAGGUUACAUUUGCAUAUCAGUGCAGUGGUUGUAAUCACACCUCUGGGUCAGGAGGCCUGGGUUGAAGUCCCAUCUCUUCCAAAAGUGUGUCAUUACAUGUCUGUACAGAUCGCAUUUUUUAAAAAAUCAACAAUACAGAGAGAUACUUGACCUUGUAUAGCACCUUUCACAACCUCAGACUAUUCCAAAAUGCUUAACAGUCAAUGAACUACUUUUGAAGCAUAGUCAACGUACUAAGAAGCACAUCAGCCAAUGUACUUAGAUAGUCACCUGAUGAAGGAGCGACACUCGGAAAGCUAGUGUGCUUCCAAUUAAACCUGUUGGACUAUAAUCUGGUGUUGUGUGAUUUUUAACUUUGUACAUCCCAGUCCAACACCGGCAUCUCCAAAUCAUGUCUGUGAUGUGUGAUUGAAGGAUGAAUAUUGGUCAGGACAUCAACAAGAAUGCCCCUAAUUCUUAUCAGAGAAGUUACACAGGCUCUUUUGAGAUAAGUGCCUUCAUAUAAUAUCCCAGCAGAGAAAGAGUGCCUCCAACUAUGUAGAACUCCUUCAAUGUCCAUUUUAAUUUAUGGCCUUCAACGCUUGAACCCAUAACUUUUUGGCUUAGAGGUGAGAGUGCUACUAACUGAGCCACAGCGAUUCCAACUGAGCUGUAGCUAAUAGAGAUGCUUGCUUUGCAGUGAACAUUAAUGAAGCUUUAUGUUGCAAUUUCUCAGUGCAUGCUAGUGGAUUACUUCCUGCAAGCUGCACUGUUUUAUUCAUUUUAUUUUUCAUUAUAGUUCAAUUGGAAUAUCAGUUAUGUAGCAAAGGUUCAUUUGUAUAUAUCCUAUAAAUUGGUGAUAAUGUGUGAGAUGAAUAAAGACAUUUAUAUGGCAUAUAUAUAUGUAUACAGCACUUACAUAAGCAAUUUAAACUAAAAUUGAUUGGUUUUCAAUAGUGAAUAUAAUGUGCAGGCACAGGAAACAGACUUCCAACUCCAAUUUAUAGCCACUUCACGUAAUUAUUCACUUAACGGUUAGUUACAUAGAUGAGGUCAGUGAU